rnacentral:rRNA from 1 species
AAGAGGGAAACAACCCAGACCGCCAGCUAAGGUCCCAAAGUCAUGGUUAAGUGGGAAACGAUGUGGGAAGGCCCAGACAGCCAGGAUGUUGGCUUAGAAGCAGCCAUCAUUUAAAGAAAGCGUAAUAGCUCACUGGUCGAGUCGGCCUGCGCGGAAGAUGUAACGGGGCUAAACCAUGCACCGAAGCUGCGGCAGCGACGCUUAUGCGUUGUUGGGUA